rnacentral:lncRNA from 1 species
AGAUUAGCAAAAAAGAAAAAUGAACGUUAACCACGGAGAUGAAACUGAAGUUAACCACGGAGAUGAAACUGAAGUUGACAAUGAUGGGGAAGAUGAAAUUUAUCAUAAGCGACCUGAUAAAGACAAAGCACUAAAGAAAUACAGAAAAUUGAAACUUAGACUAGAUGAUUUUAUGGAAGAAAUGAGGAAAACAG